AGGUAAGCUACUAAGAGCGAAUGGUGGAUGCCUUGACUGGUAAAGGCGAUGAAGGACGUACUAGACUGCGAUAAGCUACGGGGAGCUGUCAAGAAGCUUUGAUCCGUAGAUUUCCGAAUGGGGCAACCCAAUGUAUAGAGAUAUACAUUACCUAUAUAGGAGCGAACGAGGGGAAUUGAAACAUCUUAGUACCCUCAGGAAAAGAAAUCAAUAGAGAUUGCGUCAGUAGCGGCGAGCGAAAGCGCAAGAGGGCAAACCCAGUGCUUGCACUGGGGGUUGUAGGACUGCAAUGUGCAAGAGGUGAGUUUAGCAGAACAUUCUGGAAAGUAUAGCCAUAGAGGGUGAUAGUCCCGUAUGCGAAAAACAAACCUUAGCUAGCAGUAUCCUGAGUAGGGCGGGACACGAGAAAUCCUGUCUGAAGCUGGGUCGACCACGAUCCAACCCUAAAUACUAAUACCAGAUCGAUAGUGCACAAGUACCGUGAGGGAAAGGUGAAAAGAACUGAGGUGAUCAGAGUGAAAUAGAACCUGAAACCAUUUGCUUACAAUCAUUCAGAGCCCUAUGUAGCAAUACAGGGUGAUGGACUGCCUUUUGCAUAAUGAGCCUGCGAGUUGUGGUGUCUGGCAAGGUUAAGCAAACGCGAAGCCGUAGCGAAAGCGAGUCUGAAUAGGGCGCUUAGUCAGAUGCUGCAGACCCGAAACGAAGUGAUCUAUCCAUGAGCAAGUUGAAGCUAGUGUAAGAACUAGUGGAGGACUGAACCCAUAGGCGUUGAAAAGCCCCGGGAUGACUUGUGGAUAGGGGUGAAAGGCCAAUCAAACUUCGUGAUAGCUGGUUCUCUCCGAAAUAUAUUUAGGUAUAGCGUUGUGUCGUAAUAUAAGGGGGUAGAGCACUGAAUGGGCUAGGGCAUACACCAAUGUACCAAACCCUAUCAAACUCCGAAUACCUUAUAUGUAAUCACAGCAGUCAGGCGGCGAGUGAUAAAAUCCGUCGUCAAGAGGGAAACAACCCAGACUACCAGCUAAGGUCCCUAAAUCUUACUUAAGUGGAAAACGAUGUGAAGUUACUUAAACAACCAGGAGGUUGGCUUAGAAGCAGCCAUCCUUUAAAGAAAGCGUAAUAGCUCACUGGUCUAGUGAUUUUGCGCGGAAAAUAUAACGGGGCUAAAGUAAGUACCGAAGCUGUAGACUUGCGCACAACUUAGAUUAUUUAAGUUUAGAAUAUGAGAAACUAAGUUAUGUUUAGUUAUAUUUUUACUGAUUUUUAUAGAGUAAAGAUAGAAAUAAAACUUAGUAAAAUCAGUAAAAAUAUUCUUAGGUUAAAGUUAAGUAGUUUAAGUUGUGUGCAAGUGGUAGGAGAGCGUUCUAUUUGCGUCGAAGGUAUACCGGUAAGGAGUGCUGGAGCGAAUAGAAGUGAGCAUGCAGGCAUGAGUAGCGAUAAUUAAUGUGAGAAUCAUUAACGCCGUAAACCCAAGGUUUCCUACGCGAUGCUCGUCAUCGUAGGGUUAGUCGGGUCCUAAGUCGAGUCCGAAAGGGGUAGACGAUGGCAAAUUGGUUAAUAUUCCAAUACCAACAUUAGUGUGCGAUGGAAGGACGCUUAGGGCUAAGGGGGCUAGCGGAUGGAAGUGCUAGUCUAAGGUCGUAGGAGGUUAUACAGGCAAAUCCGUAUAACAAUACUCCGAGAACUGAAAGGCUUUUUGAAGUCUUCGGAUGGAUAGAAGAACCCCUGAUGCCGUCGAGCCAAGAAAAGUUUCUAAGUUUAGCUAAUGUUGCCCGUACCGUAAACCGACACAGGUGGGUGGGAUGAGUAUUCUAAGGCGCGUGGAAGAACUCUCUUUAAGGAACUCUGCAAAAUAGCACCGUAUCUUCGGUAUAAGGUGUGGUUCGCUUCGUAUUAGGAUUUACUCCGAAAGCGAAGAAACUUACAACAAAGAGUCCCUCCCGACUGUUUACCAAAAACACAGCACUCUGCUAACUCGUAAGAGGAUGUAUAGGGUGUGACGCCUGCCCGGUGCUCGAAGGUUAAUUGAUGGGGUUAGCAUUAGCGAAGCUCUUGAUCGAAGCCCGAGUAAACGGCGGCCGUAACUAUAACGGUCCUAAGGUAGCGAAAUUCCUUGUCGGUUAAAUACCGACCUGCAUGAAUGGCGUAACGAGAUGGGAGCUGUCUCAAAGAGGGAUCCAGUGAAAUUGUAGUGGAGGUGAAAAUUCCUCCUACCCGCGGCAAGACGGAGAGACCCCGUGGACCUUUACUACAGC
rnacentral:rRNA from 1 species